GGAAUCCUACAAUUAAACUA
rnacentral:tRNA from 1 species